CUACGGGCGGCAGCAGUGGGGAAUAUUGGACAAUGGGGGAAACCCUGAUCCAGCAAUGCCGCGUGUGUGAAGAAGGCCUGCGGGUUGUAAAGCACUUUCGGUUGGGAGGACUGCUUCUAGCACUAAUAUUGUUGGAAGUUGACGUUAUCUUCAGAAGAAGCACCGGCUAACUGCCGUGCCAGCAGCCGCGGUAAUACGGAGGGUGCAAGCGUUAAUCGGAAUUACUGGGCGUAAAGCGCGCGUAGGCGGCUAGAUCAGUCGGGUGUGAAAGCCCCGGGCUUAACCUGGGAACUGCAUCCGAUACUGUCUAGCUCGAGUACAGGAGAGGAGAGUGGAAUUCCACAUGUAGCGGUGAAAUGCGUAGAUAUGUGGAGGAACACCAAUGGCGAAGGCAGCUCUCUGGCCUGAUACUGACGCUGAGGCUCGAAAGCGUGGGGAGCAAAUAGGAUUAGAUACCCGAGUAGUC
rnacentral:rRNA from 1 species